GAAUCUCAGUUCGGAUUGAAGGCUGAAAUUCGCCUUCAUGAAGCUGGAAUUGCUAGCAAUGGCAGGUCAGCAUACUGCCGUGAAUACGUUCCCGGGCCUUGUACACACCGCCCGUCACACCAUGAGAGUUGGGAAUACCCGAAGCCUGUGAGCUAACUGUAAGGAGGGCGCCGCCGAAGGUGGGAUUGAUGACUGGGGUGAAGUCGUAACAAGGUACC
rnacentral:rRNA from 1 species